rnacentral:rRNA from 1 species
GAUGAACGCUGGCGGCGUGCCUAAUACAUGCAAGUCGAGCGAACGGACGAGAAGCUUGCUUCUCUGAUGUUAGCGGCGGACGGGUGAGUAACACGUGGAUAACCUACCUAUAAGACUGGGAUAACUUCGGGAAACCGGAGCUAAUACCGGAUAAUAUUUUGAACCGCAUGGUUCAAAAGUGAAAGACGGUCUUGCUGUCACUUAUAGAUGGAUGCGCGCUGCAUUAGCUAGUUGGUAAGGUAACGGCUUACCAAGGCAACGAUGCGGAGCCGACCUGAGAGGGUGACCGGCCACAGUGGGACGGAGAUACGGCCCAGACGCCUACGGGAGGCAGCAGUGGUGAAUAUUGCACAAUGGGCGCAAGCCGGAUGCAGCAACGUCGCGGGCGGUAUGACGGCCUUCGGGUUGUAAACCGCGUUCAGCAGGGACGAAGCUUUUCGUGACGGUACCUGCAGAAGAAGCACCGGCUAACUACGUG